UACGGGGGGGGCAAGCGUUUGUUGCGGAAUUACUGGGCUGUUGAAAGGGCUCGGUAGGUGGCCAACUAAGUCGGACGUGAAAUCCCUCAAGCUUAACUGGGGAACUGGCGUCCGAUACUGGAUGGUCUUGAGUUCGGGAGAGGGAUGCGGAAUUCCAGGUGUAGCGGUGAAAUGCGUAGGAAUAUCUGGAGGAACACCAGGUGGCGAAGGCGGCGA
rnacentral:rRNA from 1 species